rnacentral:rRNA from 1 species
UACGAAGGGAGCUAGCGUUGUUCGGAAUCACUGGGCGUAAAGCGCACGUAGGCGGAUGUGUCAGUCAGGGGUGAAAUCCCGGAGCUCAACUUCGGAACUGCCCUUGAUACAGCACGUCUUGAGUCCGGAAGAGGUGGGUGGAAUUCCUAGUGUAGAGGUGAAAUUCGUAGAUAUUAGGAAGAACACCGGUGGCGAAGGCGGCCCACUGGUCCGGUACUGACGCUGAGGUGCGAGAGCGUGGGGAGCGAACCGG